rnacentral:rRNA from 1 species
CCUACGGGAGGCAGCAGUGGGGAAUAUUGCGCAAUGGACGAGAGUCUGAACCAGCCAAGUAGCGUGAAGGAUGACUGCCCUAUGGGUUGUAAACUUCUUUUAUAUGGGAAUAAAACGUUCCACGUGUGGGAUUUUGUAUGUACCAUAUGAAUAAGGAUCGGCUAACUCCGUGCCAGCAGCCGCGGUAAUACGGAGGAUCCGAGCGUUAUCCGGAUUUAUUGGGUUUAAAGGGAGCGUAGGUGGAUUGUUAAGUCAGUUGUGAAAGUUUGCGGCUCAACCGUAAAAUUGCAGUUGAAACUGGCAGUCUUGAGUACAGUAGAGGUGGGCGGAAUUCGUGGUGUAGCGGUGAAAUGCUUAGAUAUCACGAAGAACUCCGAUUGCGAAGGCAGUUCACUGGACUGCAACUGACACUGAGGCUCGAAAGUGUGGGUAUCAAACAGGAUUAGAUACCCUUGUAGUC